ACUCCUGCGGGAGGCAGCAGUGGGGAAUAUUGGACAAUGGGGGCAACCCUGAUCCAGCCAUGCCGCGUGAGUGAUGAAGGCCCUAGGGUUGUAAAGCUCUUUUGUGCGGGAAGAUAAUGACGGUACCGCAAGAAUAAGCCCCGGCUAACUUCGUGCCAGCAGCCGCGGUAAUACGAAGGGGGCUAGCGUUGCUCGGAAUCACUGGGCGUAAAGGGUGCGUAGGCGGGUCUUUAAGUCAGGGGUGAAAUCCUGGAGCUCAACUCCAGAACUGCCUUGGAUACUGAGGAUCUUGAGUCCGGAAGAGGUGAGUGGAACUGCGAGUGUAGAGGUGAAAUUCGUAGAUAUUCGCAAGAACACCAGUGGCGAAGGCGGCUCACUGGUCCGGUACUGACGCUGAGGCACGAAAGCGUGGGGAGCAAACAGGAUUAGAUACCCGAGUAGUCCCAUG
rnacentral:rRNA from 1 species